CACGUAGGGCGCGAGCGUUUGUCCGGAAUUAUUGGGCGUAAAGAGCUCGUAGGCGGCCUGUUGCGUCCGCUGUGAAAGCCCGGGGCUUAACCCCGGGUCGGCAGUGGAUACGGGCAGGCUAGAGGUAGGUAGGGGAGAAUGGAAUUCCCGGUGUAGCGGUGAAAUGCGCAGAUAUCGGGAGGAACACCGGUGGCGAAGGCGGUUCUCUGGGCAUGUCCUGACGCUGAGGAGCGAAAGUGUUGGGGGAGCGAACAGGG
rnacentral:rRNA from 1 species